rnacentral:rRNA from 1 species
AUGCAAACUACUGAUGUGGCUACAUCUUAUAAGUCUCCAUCUAUGGUUUCAUCCUCUCAGGUUCACACUCGCACGUUGCUUAUAUCAUCACGACAGCUAGAGCCAAAUAAUGAAAAGAAAGACGCUAAGCAGACUGAACUGAAGGCUAAACAUGUGGGGUCUCCAUCUGAAAAUAAGGAGCCUCUGUUGCCACCACCAAAGCCCAUUCGUCAGAAGCCUGUUGAAGCUUCCUCAUAUGCUCAGUACAAUAAUAGAGGCCGAGGCCAUGGAAGAGGCCGGGGAAGAGCAAAUCGGCAAGCACGUCCCGUAGCCAAGUUUGCAGAGGACUUUGAUUUCAUGGCUAUGAAUGAGAAAUUCAACAAAGAUGAAGUAUGGGACGACCAUCUAGAAGACGAUGUGGUGUCUCCUGGAAAACCAGAGGUUAAGCCUGUGUAUGUCAAAGAUGAAUUUUUUGAUUCACUCUCAAACAACACUAUUGAUAAUGGAGCUAGAAAUGGAAGAAUCAAAUUCUAUGAGCAAAGAAAAAUAGACAGAGAGACAUUUGGUGACUCUGCAAGGCAUCGACCUAUGGGCAUGCGGGGUGGAGGAAGGGGAGGCCCCCGUGGUGGAGGUCCUCGUGGUCAUGGUGGCUACUAUGGAAGAGGGUAUGGAUAUACAGGGAGGGGGAGCGACUACUCUUACCAAAACCAUCAGUCUUGA